rnacentral:tRNA from 1 species
GGUGCCAUAGCUCAGUUGGUAGAGCAACGGACUGAAAAUCCGUGUGUCCCUAGUUCGAAUCUCGGUGGCACCA